CCUACCCCCUCAAGGGUCCCGAAACCCCUGCGCUGCGCUCGGAGCCCCGGGAAGCAGGAGAGGGUCCCUAGUUAGACUUAUGAGUGGGAGGGACUAGGGGGUCGACAGACUGGGCAGAGAGAGAUCCGUAACCGGUCCCUGGAGGCAGCUUUCUGGGAAUCCAGCCCCUUCCCCGAGGAUGCAAAUUCCAUAGGGAGGAUUAACUCCAGUGGACUCUCGUGUACUCCCUCCGGAGACCAAGUUUGCCAUCCGAGGACACAAGAUUGGAUGAGAGGCUUCCGAAGACCAUCUGAACCAACUUCCACCAAGUUCUCUGAUUCCCUUCAGUGACAGUUCAGAGAUUUCCCACUUUCUGCAUUCAUCUCUUCUCUGCCAGCUGAAGAUUCAACAGCCUACACCAGUCUUGAGCCUGCCUGUGACCUGCAUUUAUUGUUCCAGAAGACUCCAGGCGUUACGAAUACCAGUUACCAACACUCAUAAACUCAUGAACCCGACUUCAAGCCCCAUCCAUCAUGCUCACCACUUUUUUGAUAUUAUCCUCCGAAAUCUUCCCGCAUAUUUUCCUUCUAACACCCAAGAGAUCACCAGUACCCAACUUACAGAUUUUGUUCUUGAUCUCUUUCUCCAAGGUGAUCUCAUGGAUUUCACUUGGGAUGAGGUAAUGCAGUUUCUGGAACUUCCGUAAAAAUAUACUAUUAUGUCUCUCAAAUAAAAGUGGAUCUUAA